UGGUGGAGUGAUUUGUCUGGUUAAUUCCGUUAACGAACGAGACCUCAGCCUGCUAAAUAGUCGAGCGAAUCACAACGAAAGUUUGAUUCGUGUACCAUUCUGUCGACUUCUUAGAGGGACUGUCUGUAUCUAGCAGAAGGAAGUGUGAGGCAAUAACA
rnacentral:rRNA from 1 species